CCUACGGGUGGCAGCAGUGAGGAAUAUUGGUCAAUGGCCGGAAGGCUGAACCAGCCAUGCCGCGUGAAGGUCAGUGCCCUAUGGGCGUUAAACUUCUUUUGUGCGGGAGCAAUAAUGGUCACGUGUGGCCAGACGAGAGUACCGUACGAAUAAGCAUCGGCUAACUCCGUGCCAGCAGCCGCGGUAAUACGGGGGAUGCAAGCGUUAUUCGGAUUUAUUGGGUUUAAAGGGUGCGUAGGCUGGGAGGUAAGUCAGCGGUGAAAUGCCCCCGCUCAACGGGGUGAAGUGCCAUUGAUACUGCCUGGCUGGAAUGCGGAUGCCGUGGGAGGAAGGUGUGGUGUAGCGGUGAAAUGCAUAGAGAUCACACAGAACACCGAUUGCGAAGGCAUCUCACGAAUCCGCGAUUGACGCUGAUGCACGAAAGUGUGGGUAUCAAACAGGAUUAGAUACCCGGGUAGUC
rnacentral:rRNA from 1 species